rnacentral:rRNA from 1 species
GACGAACCGUGCGAACGUUGUUCGGAAUCACUGGGCUUAAAGGGCGCGUAGGCGGCCGGGUUGGUCGUGGGUGAAAUCCCCCAGCUUAACUGGGGAAUUGCCUACGAUACUGCCUGGCUCGAGGGAGGAAGGGGCGGCCGGAACUGUCGGUGGAGCGGUGAAAUGCGUUGAGAUCGACAGGAACGCCGGUGGCGAAAGCGGGCCGCUGGCCCUCUUCUGACGCUGAGGCGCGAAAGCCAGGGGAGCGAACGGGAUUAGAUACCCCGGUAGUCCUGGCCUUAAACGAUGGGCACUAGGUAGUGGGCUCGACCUGGGCGCACUGCCGCAGCGAAAGUCAUUAGUGCCCCGCCUGGGGAGUAUGGUCGCAAGGCUGAA